AGUUUCCUCAGGAUAGCUAGAGUCUUUAUCAGUUUGUCAGGUAAAGCGAAUGAUAGAGUCCGGGGAAGUAACUUCCUCGACCUAUCUCAAACUUUAAAUGGGCAAGAUCCAGUAGUUACUUAAUUGAACUAUUGGGGUCAAUGAGACGACUCUAAGUGGGCCAUUUUUGGUAAGCAGAACUGGCGAUGAGGGAUGAACCUAACGCUCGGUUAAGGUGCUAAACUGCUCGCUCAUCAGAUACCACAAAGGGUGUUGGUCGAUCUUAACAGCAGGACGGUGGUCAUGGAAGUCGAAAUCCGCUAAGGAGUGUGUAACAACUCACCUGCCGAAUCGACUAGCCCCGAAAAUGGAUAGCGCUGAAGCGAGUGACCGAUACCGGGCCAUUGUUGCAAGAUAAUUGGCAACAAUGAGUAGGAGGGCGUGGGGGUUGUGAAGAAGCUUGGACGUGAGUCUGAGUGAAACAGCUUCCAGUGCAGAUCUUGGUGGUAGUAGCAAGUAUUCAAUAAGAGAACAUUGAAGGCCGAAGUGGGGAAGGGUUCCAUGUGAACAGCACUUGGACAUGGGUUAGCCGAUCCUGAGAGACAGGUUAAAUUCCAUCGGAUUGGAGCUUUGGCUCUGUUUCUCGAAAGGGAAGCUGGUUAGUAUUCCAGCGCCGAGACGUGGAUAAUAUGUGGCAACACAAGUGAACUCGGACACGCCAUAGGGGACCCCAGGAAGCGUUGUCUUUUCUUUUUAACAGUUCGACUUACCCUGGAAUCAGAUCAUCUGGAGAUAGGGUUUUCGAACUGGAAUAGCACCUUGUCUAACAGGGUGUCUGGAGUGUUCUCGCUGGCCCUUGAAAAUCCGAGGGAUAGAUUUAUUCGCACUCUCGAUCGUACCCAUAACCGCAUCAGGUCUCCAAGGUUAGAAGCCUCUGGUCCGUAGGACAAAGUAGAUAAGGGAAGUCGGCAAAAUAGGUCCGUAACUUCGGGAAAAGGACUGGCUCUGAGGUUUGGUAUGUGGAACCUGGAUUAAUCGUUGGAGUCGAGCAGAGACUACUUGUU
rnacentral:ncRNA from 1 species